rnacentral:rRNA from 1 species
CUUUCCCUCUGGCGGCAGGCCUAACACAUGCAAGUCGAGCGGAUGAAGGGAGCUUGCUCCUGGAUUCAGCGGCGGACGGGUGAGUAAUGCCUAGGAAUCUGCCUGGUAGUGGGGGAUAACGUCCGGAAACGGGCGCUAAUACCGCAUACGUCCUGAGGGAGAAAGUGGGGGAUCUUCGGACCUCACGCUAUCAGAUGAGCCUAGGUCGGAUUAGCUAGUUGGUGGGGUAAAGGCCUACCAAGGCGACGAUCCGUAACUGGUCUGAGAGGAUGAUCAGUCACACUGGAACUGAGACACGGUCCAGACUCCUACGGGAGGCAGCAGUGGGGAAUAUUGGACAAUGGGCGAAAGCCUGAUCCAGCCAUGCCGCGUGUGUGAAGAAGGUCUUCGGACUGUAAAGCACUUUAAGUUGGGAGGAAGGGCAGUAAGUUAAUACCUUGCUGUUUUGACGUUACCAACAGAAUAAGCACCGGCUAACUUCGUG